UAGGCUUAGGCUUAGGCUUAAUCUCAGGCUUAGGCUUAGGCUUAGUCUCAGGUUUAGGCUUAGGCUUAGGCUUAGG
ensembl:ncRNA Y51A2D.32 ncRNA